GGUGGUAUGGCGCAAUUGGUUAGCGCAUUCGGCUGUUAACCGAAAGGUUGUAAGUUCGAUCCUUACUACUACCG
rnacentral:tRNA from 1 species